ensembl:lncRNA
GCGUUUUCUAGGAUUAUAUAUAUGCUGUUUUUUUUUCAUAUAUCAUUUUUGACAACAGUAUUGAUUAAAUAUUUAUUUGUUAUUUGCAAAGAGUGUUCAUACAUAAGUAUACAUGCCUUGGAACCUGGUAUAAAUAGCAGUGAUUGGAUUUCAGUUCUCCUGUAUGAGGUAUAAAUAGAAGUGUAUACAUUAAUCCAAGACAGAAUAUUCUCUGCGAUUCUCUUCAGCUUGUUCUGUGUUGGUCAGUCUUUCUGUUGACAGUUUUGUAUUUAGGUCACACAGGAGCCCUCGGGCAGCAGUAAAGCAUGUCCUCUACAGGAGUGAUUGACACCUUCUUUGAUGGUGAAUGAAGUCUCCAGCUUCUCUGGGCUUCCGCCACAGCAGUAAACCAGUGCUGCAGACUGACGGUCGGUCCUCAUCUCAUUUCUUUAAUUCGAUGUUUUAUGUGAUACAGUGUAAUUGAGGCAAAUAAAUUGAGACAGUUGUAGAAUAACACAAUUAGUGUUCCAUUUUUUUUUUCUCCAGGAUGCAAUCAUCUUUUAUUUCCCAUUAAUGAAACCACCUCAUUUUAUGGCCUACUGAACCGAACAGCAUGGAUUGUGGAUUAAAUGGAGAGGUCUUCAGCCGCAGCGAUGUUAACGUCCCGUGGCUGUUCUCCAGUGAUGAGUCCAGAUGGAGGAUAUGUUGGUACCUGCCCUUCUAUUUCCAUUGCCAGCUAACUCCCUCCAGCCCCCAGUACACCUCCACGCCAUCUGUGCCAACCUGCCGUCUCUCCGUCAGACAGUUUGCAGGUUCCGCCGUGCGUGGCAGGCCUACAGCUGUGCAGACAGCCAGCCCAACAUCUGUGUGUCCUAUGGGACAGACGGGGGGGAAUGUCCCGUUGAUCGACUCAGCUGCUGCUGGCCUUAAACACAGCCACUGGCCGGCAGUUCUGUGGACAGGUGCCCUGUUUUAUUGCGUUGUGCCUGUAGAGUCCUGCUGGGUGUGGAUCAGUGUGGAGAGCCAAUAG